rnacentral:rRNA from 1 species
UACGAAGGGGACUAGCGUUGUUCGGAAUCACUGGGCGUAAAGCGCACGUAGGCGGAUGUGUCAGUCAGGGGUGAAAUCCCGGGGCUCAACCUCGGAACUGCCUUUGAUACAGCACGUCUCGAGUCCGGAAGAGGUGGGUGGAAUUCCUAGUGUAGAGGUGAAAUUCGUAGAUAUUAGGAAGAACACCGGUGGCGAAGGCGGCCCACUGGUCCGGUACUGACGCUGAGUGCGAAAGCGUGGGGAGCAAACA